rnacentral:rRNA from 1 species
GUGGGGAAUAUUGCACAAUGGGGGAAACCCUGAUGCAGCGACGCCGCGUGAGCGAAGAAGUAUUUCGGUAUGUAAAGCUCUAUCAGCAGGGAAGAAGAAUGACGGUACCUGACUAAGAAGCACCGGCUAAAUACGUGCCAGCAGCCGCGGUAAUACGUAUGGUGCAAGCGUUAUCCGGAUUUACUGGGUGUAAAGGGAGCGCAGGCGGUGCGGCAAGUCUGAUGUGAAAGCCCGGGGCUCAACCCCGGUACUGCAUUGGAAACUGUCGUACUAGAGUGUCGGAGGGGUAAGUGGAAUUCCUAGUGUAGCGGUGAAAUGCGUAGAUAUUAGGAGGAACACCAGUGGCGAAGGCGGCUUACUGGACGAUAACUGACGCUGAGGCUCGAAAGCGUGGGGAGCAAACAGGAUUAGAAACCCCGGUAGUCC